UGUCAGGCUCUGCUUCAG
rnacentral:miRNA from 1 species